rnacentral:rRNA from 1 species
UACGUAGGGUGCAAGCGUUAAUCGGAAUUACUGGGCGUAAAGCGUGCGCAGGCGGUUCGCUAAGACAGAUGUGAAAUCCCCGGGCUUAACCUGGGAACUGCAUUUGUGACUGGCGGGCUAGAGUAUGGCAGAGGGGGGCAGAAUUCCACGUGUAGCAGUGAAAUGCGUAGAGAUGCGGAGGAACACCGAUGGCGAAGGCAGCCCCCUGGGCUAACACUGACGCUCAGGCACGAAAGCGUGGGGAGCAAACAGG